UUUUUUGUUCUACUUUUCUCUUCCUUUCUUUUUUUGUUUCUUUCUUUUCCUAGCUUCUCACUUC
rnacentral:ribozyme from 1 species